GGGGAAUCCAAUCGAUAUCGGCGAUUUUGGGUCGUUCCAAUUCGGUCCGUCGGCCCACGUGUGCGGAUUGUCGAGUUUUUGUUUUCAUGGGAGUGGUUUUCAACGUCGCAAUCGUUAUCGAUGGAACUCUCUGACGAUGAAUGUGUCAACCGGGAGCAGAGAGAGAGAGAAAGAGCGCCCGCAUUGAUAUAGAACACCGGUAAUAAAAAGCUCAAAUAUUGCUCUUUUGUCCGGUCGUGUUGUUUAUCGACGGCCAAACAACAAUCGUAUAAUUGAUACUACACCUCUUGUAUGUUUACUGGAACUCGCGUGGACUAUCGUCGGUGGUGUCAAAGUUUGACGUAUAGGCCCGGGCCAUAACCAAGUAAGUCCUACUCAAUCGAAGCUGUCAGAUAUUCGGGGGAGUAACAAGUUGUUUGGCUAGAAGUGCUUUUCGGAAACUUGACGCAGCGAGAGGCCCUGAAAAUUCGGAAUCCCCACGCCUGAGAUAAACUUAAUCCCCAUCGGGUGUGGGACUGGGUGGAUUAAAAUUGAUCCGUCCGGUAGCUCACAGCCAAUUGUUGUGUUCCAGUGUUGAAGGGUGUGUGUGUGCUACAUUCGAUUUAAUCCAGGGAGCAAAAAAAAUUAAAAACGGGUCGAUUGAAACGGGCCAAAUGAUUCAUACAAUCUAUAUUUAUAAGUCAAAAGUUGGGUAUCAGUGAUUGAAGGCCGAAAGUAUCAAAAAAUCUAACCCAUCGGCUAAAAAAAGUGAAGUGAAACAAAUUUAAAAAAAAUCAAAACAAAAGUUAAUUAGCAAAAUCGUCCAACCCAAUCAAACAGCAGAGGUAUUGGCUUUUAAAAAUGGAUAUCGAAGGCUCUCUCGAAGAUAUCGAUCAGCUGGAGAAACCUGGCGGUGGCAGACGCAAAUCAAAGUCCCAUUUGUCGAUGUUCAAGCGGCAGUACUGGACCCGUCGAGCUAGUCAGGACGUGAUACUGUCCAAAAGUUCGGACAGCCUUGAUCCACCGUAUCGAAGGU